rnacentral:rRNA from 1 species
CCUACGGGAGGCAGCAGUAAGGAAUAUUGCGCAAUGGGCGAAAGCCUGACGCAGCGACGCCGCGUGGGGGAUGAAGGUCUUCGGAUUGUAAACCCCUUUCGGGAGGGAAGAUGGAAUGAGCAAUCAUUCGGACGGUACCUCCAGAAGCAGCCACGGCUAACUUCGUGCCAGCAGCCGCGGUAAUACGAAGGUGGCAAGCGUUGUUCGGAUUUACUGGGCGUACAGGGAGCGUAGGCGGUUUAGUAAGCCCUUUGUGAAAUCUCCAGGCUUAACCUGGAACAGUCGGAGGGGACUGCUAAGCUAGAGUACGGGAGAGGAGCGCGGAAUUCCCGGUGUAGCGGUGAAAUGCGUAGAGAUCGGGAGGAAGGCCGGUGGCGAAGGCGGCGCUCUGGAACGUUUCUGACGCUGAGGCUCGAAAGCGUGGGGAGCAAACAGGAUUAGAUACCCUGGUAGUCCACGCCUUAAACUAUGAAUACUAAGUGUCGGCGGUUUACCGCCGGUGCCGCAGCACGACAUAAUUAUUACGUCUCGGAGGUACGGCCGCGAGUAGAACGUACAAAGAAGUAGAGGCGUGAGAGUUGCGAGACGACACGAGGGAGGAGG